rnacentral:misc_RNA from 1 species
UAUGGCCCUUUUUCUUUUCCCUUUCUCAUUUUGAUUUCUCAAGUGUUUACAUAAUUGCAUUACUACUAUUACCACAUCUUUAGAAGUUGUAAAAUUCGUUUUACAAUUGGUAAAGUUGAUAGUUUCCUGCUCAAUUUGGUUGCUUUUUGAGCUGAUUCUUUUAUUUUAGUUCAGUUCUUGAAGGUCAUGCUUGUUAGGAAGCUCUUUGUUUUCUUGAUUAUUGCUCUCAGUUGCUUCAAGGUGCUGAGAUUUGUUGGGGCAAAGCUGGUCCAAGAAGAAGUUGAUGCUCUGGAAGAAAUUGCAAGGACAAUGGGCUCAACAUACUGGAAGUUUAAUGCUGAUUCUUGUGAACUUGAAGAGGUUGGAAUAACGCCAGAGCCACCAAAGAAUGCAGAGUACAGCAUAGACUGCAAAUGCAAUAAUGAGAACAAUACUGAUUGUCACGUCAUAAGGAUAUUGCUCAAGGGUUAUAAUCUUCCUGGGGUUCUUCCUCCUCAACUUGUUAAGCC